AUUCGAUCUAUUAUUAUCAAUUAUCAUUCGUAAUUAAGAUACAUCAUCAAAUGGUUAUACCGUAAGCACACCAACUCUUUACUGUUAUACUUAGAGUUGGUAAUUAAAUACGUAUACAGCGAGCAGUGUUUACUUCAUCAACCCCUAUCAUAGGGGGUAACUACCAAAACUAACCUAGGAUGUUCCUGCGGGUGGAGUACCACCAUAUGGCGAUCUAAGACCAGGGAAGAACACAGGAACUGGCAAUCUGAAAUGAGAAAUGAAAAAAAAAAACGUCUAUGGAUGAGGUUUCUUGCACUUCGAUCACCCUAGAAAACAGUGUGGUAUAUGGGAAAAGGAUGGAGACAUUAGGCCUGACACGGAGCUGAGUAUAGUUAUGGAAAAUGGCAUAUGGUAUGGAGCAUCGUGUGGAAAUGGAGUAUGGUAUGGAAAAGGGACAUGCAGCGUGGACUUUUUGGUGACAUCGAUAUAGACGUUUAAAGGGUGGCAUACGCAGAAGAAGAGCUGGAGUCUAUAAAAUGGUGGACAUAACGGAUGGAAUGCUUUUUAAGAACAACGGCUUUUUAAGCACAUUAAAUAUUGGAAAAAGAUACCAUCUACAUACCAUGCCCCGUAAUUAUAAAAAAAUAGGGGUUACCGCCAAAUUCAGAUACAAUGAAAUUUAUAUAAAAAAUGCUCUAAAAGCGGUAACACGUGGGCAAAUGAGCAUAAGGGCGGCCUCCACAAAUUAUGGAGUUCCAUAUACCACAUUACAUAUAAAAUAUGCAGCACAUGUAAAAGGAGAAGAGCAACGCAUCAUCGGAGGGCAACCUGUUCUUUCGGAAAUUGAAGAAAAAAAAAUAGUGAAAAUUUAUUUAAGGACAUUUUGGUUCGUACAAUCUAGAAUGACCUUUUAAAUUUAUGUAGGUAGAGAAAUACCUGAUUGAAAAUGUUGUUCCUUUGUUAAUUUUAGGAUUAAGUUAAUCGUUUGUAAUGUUAUUCCAUUCUUAAUAAGUAAUAAGUUUUUUAAGCCAAAAUAAACAGUAAAUUGUAUUCGUUCAGUUUUGAACAAUUUGGUUUAAUUUUGUUAAUGUUUUUGUUUCUAUUUGCGUUCAUUUUUAUUAAUAAAUGCGUUUGUAUACUACAAUAUUGCUAUUUUUUUCAAUAAAACGCAAAAAAACUGUGAAGAAUUUUUUUUUAAAUUUUUUUAAAUGGUCCGUUUUAUACAAGAACUUGCUAAAAUGAGUUUUCCGUUAAAAUAUAUGGGUGAUCCGUUUCACCUUACCAGGUGGGGUGAAACGGAUCACUGUUUAAGUAAAAAAAAAAUGAAAAAAAGCAGCUGACCAACUUCAAUUUAAACUAGUAUGACACGUAGCCAAGGCAUGUAGCUAUAUUGUGUAUUUUUUUCAGAAUGUUUCUACAAAUAAAAAGCACUAAAAACUUUUACGAAAACCUCCAAUUUUGAUUCGUUUCACCCCGUA